UGUACUCCGGUGUCCCGCAAGCGCUAGACAUGCAGAAAUCUUGUGUCAGGGAUAUAUUUUCUAUGGCUUCCUCAGCAUCUAAAAAAUAAAAGGUUUCCGGAACGUAAUUUUCAGUCAUCAGUUGAUAAAUGCCGCAUUCUGGCGUACUGUUAAAGUCUCCACACAGUAUUAUACUCACGUUGCACUCGGGAUUCUAUCAACAUUUCCACAAAUUUCAGGUUAUAUAAAUACCUUGGCAGCAUCUCUCGUACACACGUGCAUGGUGUAAACAUUUGGAAGUGUUACAUCGGAGAUGCAGUAAUCUACAUUCUCGCAAAGGUUAUCGCGAGUUGUAGAGGACAAGGACUAGUUUGACAAGUGCGAAUCAAGGCGGAAGGCAGCUAUCAAGUAACGAAGGCAGCUCCGAACGACGCGUUUUUUUGACGAAAGAUUUAUCGAUGCAAAUGGCAGAUUUCAAGCGGAGUCGUUAAAUCGAUCCUCGACAUUUUCUCAUGAACGACUUCUCAAUGUGAUGUGCGGAAUGUUUUGUCGAAGGAUGCGCAAAGAUGCGAAGCAAGUUGAUGACUUUCCAUCCUCGUGGACACGUUACACGUCGCAAAAUGUCAAGGCGUCCCCGCGCGAGUGAAAGGAUGCGUCCUGCGGUGCCGGGCAAGCUCGCUUUCCGUUUUUCAUCUCCACGCGCGGAAUAAUUAACAAAUUAAUAACCAGCCACAUCUCUAAUCACCCGUCGCGAUGAAAUCGAAAGGGGCGCACGUUUCAAGGAUUAUAUGCGAGAAUAACAAGGUGCAAAAACAGAUGCUGACUUCAUGGAGAAAACUGAAAAUGAUAGUAACAAUAAAAUAAUAACUUGAAAAAGUCUUCGUCAAGCAAGGAAGGAAAAUGAUUAAAGUUAAAUUAAUAUUAUGAAAAAAAGGGUUUUCUUCUAUCAAAGUAAUUAAGAAAAAUAUUAGACAUUACGA